UUUCCAGUGUGCCAUGAUAAACAAUACCAAAACCUCCUUUUCCGAUGAUUGAUUGAAAGUUGUUAGUUAUGAGUUUCAGCUCUGCGUAUGUGAACCGUCUGAUAUCAAUAUGUAGGGGAGUUUCCUCUUCAUACAUAGCAUAAUCUUCAUCGUCUCCUGACUUCCCUGCAGAGUCAAGAAGUUGUGUUUAACAUGAAAGUUUAGUAUAACUUCCAGAGUAUGCCCAUCACUACUAGGAGGGAUACCAGUACCACAGGAACUAUCACUGCGAUGAGCACAGUAGAUGUCUUCUUCUUCUUAUUUGAACAAUUGAGCAGGGGUUAAAGAGGCGCAGGAUCAAGAAGGGAAAAGAUAGGAUGACAUGGCUUGUAUAUAUUACCAGGAGGAGACUGGCAGUGGACUUGAAUCGUCGUCGUAACCAGGAUGAGCAGCAGCGCAAAGAUCCAUGCCAGUUUUGCAUGUGCCGAGUAAUAGCUGAUCGCCAUGGUUCUAUCCGGUUCGUGCAAUUUUUGGAAGCAAGAAACUGCAAAUGGCUUGUGAAUUUAUAUAGCAGAGAAGACAACAAACACGGUAAACCUUGUGGCGAUAGAAAUGGAUGCAACUUGCAUUCAUCUUAUAAGAAAAGAAACUCCAACUUGGCAUGGAGGAUAGGCCGCACGCCAAAUGUCGCGGUGCUCUGCAGUCUUCCGUAUGCGGCCAACGAACCGCUCGUCAGCGUGAUAGCCAAGUCCCAACCCGGGCACAAUUGUUUGGCUUGGGCGGGCGAAUCGUGCUUGCGGAUCGCCCAUAUCUAAAGCCGCGGACGUUGGUUGUUCUCUGAACCAGCCCGGCAUGCCAAAUAAAACAAGUGUUACGACCUGCAAUCGCCAGAUAAAAGAAAGGAGCAAGUUGCAGCGAGCCCGACCGAUUCGCUAGGGUGAUAUAAGAACGACCGGGUGUGAGCUUGGAGGACGCAUGUCCGCCGGCCGGUCGGUCUCAAAUGUCAAUCGGGUUCUUAUUAUUUUCACCAUGUAGUACAUCAAGUUUCAUCAGCGCGCAUGUGGAGGAUGGCACUCGGUCGCGCGUCGAAUUGUCACAAACAAAGGGCAGGGCAGGUAGAGUUCAUCGGCGGGCGGCGACUGUAUGUGUGUUCGGGAUUCAAACUUGGUUUCAAUCUAGUUUGGGGUAGGUCCGUAGGCGUCUCUGUCCCGCUUACGUCGAGAACCGCGUCGAUCAGCUCCGCGCCUCAGCGCAGCGAGCAAGACGUCGACAAGCGCAAGCCGUCCCGGCGGGCUGCGACGCCGUCAUUUUGGUCACCGCGAGAUGACGGCGCGCACGGGACCGAAGUGCGUUUCCUACGGCGAGAGACCGCGCUCCCGGUCCCGGGGACCGGGGCGCCACAUUGCAUAACGUUUUCGUUUCGAGGGACCAGAUUGCAUAACGUUUUCGUUUUGAGGGACCAGAUUGCAUUUACACUGAGCAGGCAAGGCCCUCCCCUCUGCCGUCGCCGUCGGGGGUGGCGGCCAAGGAUGGGUUCACGCACGGCGCCGAUGUGCCCCGCCCCCCUUCCCUCGCACAAGGCCACCGCCACAACAUCUCGGGGCUCGGCCUGGAGGCGCUGCACUAAGCGGCCGAGUCGAGGAGCCGCCUGCGGGCGACCGGCGACGAGGUUAGAUGCUGGAGCCCUGGAGCCAGACGCCACCAUCGACGACGACCCCCUACUACACCGGAGGUGCCUACUACUACGUGCAGCCCGCUGACGACGACCAGG